rnacentral:rRNA from 1 species
GUGGGGAAUCUUGCGCAAUGGGCGAAAGCCUGACGCAGCCAUGCCGCGUGAAUGAUGAAGGUCUUAGGAUUGUAAAAUUCUUUCACCGGGGACGAUAAUGACGGUACCCGGAGAAGAAGCUCCGGCUAACUUCGUGCCAGCAGCCGCGGUAAUACGAAGGGGGCUAGCGUUGCUCGGAAUUACUGGGCGUAAAGGGCGCGUAGGCGGACAGCUUAGUCAGAGGUGAAAGCCCAGGGCUCAACCUUGGGAUUGCCUUUGAUACUGGCUGUCUUGAGUUUGGGAGAGGUGAGUGGAACUCCGAGUGUAGAGGUGAAAUUCGUAGAUAUUCGGAAGAACACCAGUGGCGAAGGCGACUCACUGGCCCAAUACUGACGCUGAGGCGCGAAAGCGUGGGGAGCAAACAGGAUUAGAUACCCCGGUAGUCC